rnacentral:misc_RNA from 1 species
AAUUCUCAACUUCAAAAGUUUUUGCUUCUGAAGCUUGGACUGUGGAGGCUUGCUGGCAUCACUAGAUGUUCUCAGCUCCUCUCAAAUGCAUUAGCGGAAACCGGAUUAGUCGGACCUAAGCCUUGGUGUGAUAAUUAUCUACGCCUUGGUGGUUUGACAAGGCUCUUUGGUUGGGAUAGCUGCAACUCAGGUUGCUCUGUCUGCUUUCAUUUCAAAGAGCUGUGGAGGUGUCUGCUCUCUAAUCGUCUGUUUUCACGGACAAACUAACAUUGACUU